rnacentral:rRNA from 1 species
CGGGUGCGUAACACGUGUGCAACCUGCCUUUAUCUGGGGGAUAGCCUUUCGAAAGGAAGAUUAAUACUCCAUAAUAUAUUGAACGGCAUCGUUUAAUAUUGAAAGCUCCGGCGGAUAGAGAUGGGCACGCGCAAGAUUAGCUAGUUGGUGAGGUAACGGCUCACCAAGGCGAUGAUCUUUAGGGGGCCUGAGAGGGUGAUCCCCCACACUGGUACUGAGACACGGACCAG